rnacentral:rRNA from 1 species
AUACGUAGGGAGCGAGCGUUGUCCGGAAUUACUGGGUGUAAAGGGUGCGUAGGCGGGACUGCAAGUCAGAUGUGAAAUGCCGGGGCUCAACCCCGGAGCUGCAUUUGAAACUGUGGUUCUUGAGUGAGGUAGAGGGAAGCGGAAUUCCUAGUGUAGCGGUGAAAUGCGUAGAUAUUAGGAGGAACAUCGGUGGCGAAGGCGGCUUACUGGGCCUUUACUGACGCUGAGGCACGAAAGCGUGGGGAGCAAACAGGAUUAGAUACCCUGGUAGUCCACGCUGUAAACGAUGAUGACUAGGUGUGGGGGGACUGAACCCUUCCGUGCCGCAGUUAACACAAUAAGUCAUCCACCUGGGGAGUACGGCCGCAAGGUUGAAACUCAAAUGAAUUGGCGGGG